rfam:Legionella londiniensis strain ATCC 49505 Llon_ctg001, whole genome shotgun sequence.
GGUCAAGAAGAGAAGCGCAAACGGUGGAUGCCUUGGCAGUAAGAGGCGAAGAAGGACGUGGAAUCCUGCGAAAAGCUUCGGGGAGCUGGAAACGAGCGAUGAACCGGAGGUGUCCGAAUGGGGGAACCCGGCCGCUUAUGGCGGUCACUCAUAGUUGAAUACAUAGGCUAUGAGGGCGAACUUGGGGAACUGAAACAUCUAAGUACCCAAAGGAAAAGAAAUCAAGAGAGAUUCCCUAAGUAGCGGCGAGCGAAAGGGGAGGAGCCUGGUGUGAUUUAUGAUAAGUUGAAGUAGAACAGUCUGGGAAGUCUGACCAUAGGGGGUGAUAGUCCCGUAUACGCAAGGCUUAUCAGGAACUAGGCACACGAGCAAGUAGGUUGGGACACGUGAAAUCCUGAUUGAAUAUGGGUGGACCAUCAUCCAAGGCUAAAUACUCCUUACUGACCGAUAGUGAACCAGUACCGUGAGGGAAAGGCGAAAAGAACCCCGGAGAGGGGAGUGAAAUAGAACCUGAAACCGUUUGCGUACAAGCAGUGGGAGCCUGACUUAGGUUGGGUGACUGCGUACCUUUUGUAUAAUGGGUCAGCGAGUUACUUUCAGUGGCGAGGUUAACUGGAUAAGGAAGCCGUAGAGAAAUCGAGUCUGAAUAGGGCGAUAGUCGCUGGGAGUAGACCCGAAACCGGGCGAUCUAGCCAUGUCCAGGAUGAAGGUUGGGUAACACCAACUGGAGGUCCGAACCGGGUAAUGUUGAAAAAUUAUCGGAUGAGGUGUGGCUAGGAGUGAAAGGCUAAUCAAGCCCGGAGAUAGCUGGUUCUCCCCGAAAGCUAUUUAGGUAGCGCCUUGUGAGUGAUUGCCAGGGGUAGAGCACUGUUUCGGCUAGGGGGCUGUCAUGGCUUACCAAACCGAUGCAAACUCCGAAUACUGGUUAAUUGGAUCACGGGAGACACACGGCGGGUGCUAACGUCCGUCGUGGAGAGGGAAACAACCCAGACCGCCGGCUAAGGUCCCAAAGUUAUGGUUAAGUGGGAAACGAUGUGGGAAGGCAUAGACAGCCAGGAGGUUGGCUUAGAAGCAGCCAUCCUUUAAAGAAAGCGUAAUAGCUCACUGGUCGAGUCGGCCUGCGCGGAAGAUGUAACGGGGCUAAACCAUACACCGAAGCUGCGGAUUCACACAGAGUGUGAGUGGUAGGGGAGCGUUCUGUAGGUCUGAGAAGGUGAACUGAGAAGUUUGCUGGAGAUAUCGGAAGUGCGAAUGCUGACAUGAGUAACGAUAAAGAAGGUGAAAAACCUUCUCGCCGGAAGUCUAAGGUUUCCUGCACGACGUUAAUCGGAGCAGGGUGAGUCGGCCCCUAAGGCGAGGCGGAGACGCGUAGUCGAUGGGAAUCAGGUUAAAAUUCCUGAACUUUCUAUAAGUGCGAAGGGGGGACGGAGAAGGCUAGGUGAGCCAGGGGUUGGUAGUCCUGGUACAAGCAUGCAGGCGGAAGGGUUAGGCAAAUCCGGCCCUUUGAUAACGCUGAGGUGUGAUGUGGAUUCGGCGAUUAUGCUGAAGAAGUGACUGAUGCCAAGCUUCCAGGAAAAGCCUCUAAGCGACAGCUUAUAGGGAACCGUACCGGAAACCGACACAGGUAGACGAGUAGAGAAUACUAAGGCGCUUGAGAGAACUCGGGUGAAGGAACUAGGCAAAAUGGUACCGUAACUUCGGGAGAAGGUACGCCUUUGCUGGUGAAUUGCUUUACGUAAUGAGCUGGCGGAGGCCGCAGAGACCAGGUGGCUGCGACUGUUUAUUAAAAACACAGCACUCUGCAAAUUCGUAAGAAGACGUAUAGGGUGUGACGCCUGCCCGGUGCCGGAAGGUUAAUUGAUGGGGUUAUUCUGCUUGCAGGAGAAGCUCUUGAUCGAAGCCCCGGUAAACGGCGGCCGUAACUAUAACGGUCCUAAGGUAGCGAAAUUCCUUGUCGGGUAAGUUCCGACCUGCACGAAUGGCGUAACGAUGGCCACACUGUCUCCACCCGAGACUCAGUGAAAUUGAAAUUGCGGUGAAGAUGCCGUAUACCCGCGGCUAGACGGAAAGACCCCGUGAACCUUUACUACAGCUUUGCACUGGACUUUGACAAUGACUGUGUAGGAUAGGUGGGAGGCUAAGAAGUGCAGACGCCAGUUUGCAUGGAGCCGACCUUGAAAUACCACCCUGUGAUUGUUGAGGUUCUAACUUGGUCCCAUGAACUGGGAUGAGGACAGUGUAUGGUGGGUAGUUUGACUGGGGCGGUCUCCUCCCAAAGAGUAACGGAGGAGCACAAAGGUACCCUCGGUACGGUCGGACAUCGUACCAAGAGUGUAAAGGCAAAAGGGUGCUUGACUGCGAGAGUGACGGCUCGAGCAGGUACGAAAGUAGGUCUUAGUGAUCCGGUGGUUCUGAAUGGAAGGGCCAUCGCUCAACGGAUAAAAGGUACUCCGGGGAUAACAGGCUGAUACCGCCCAAGAGUUCAUAUCGACGGCGGUGUUUGGCACCUCGAUGUCGGCUCAUCACAUCCUGGGGCUGAAGCAGGUCCCAAGGGUAUGGCUGUUCGCCAUUUAAAGUGGUACGCGAGCUGGGUUUAGAACGUCGUGAGACAGUUCGGUCCCUAUCUGCCGUGGGCGUAGGAAAAUUGAGAGGAGCUGCUCCUAGUACGAGAGGACCGGAGUGGACGAACCUCUGGUGUACCGGUUGUAACGCCAGUUGCAUUGCCGGGUAGCUAAGUUCGGACGGGAUAACCGCUGAAAGCAUCUAAGCGGGAAGCCCCCCUCAAGAUGAGUUUUCCCAUGAAGCCCGUUGAAGACGACGACGUUGAUAGGCGAGGUGUGGAAGCGCAGUAAUGUGUGAAGCUAACUCGUACUAAUUGGCUGAUUGUCUUGACCAU